CACCCCCUGCCAUGGGCAGAGACAACUUCCACCAGACCAUGUUCCUCCAUGCCCUGUUCAACCUGGCCUUGGAAACUUCCAGGGACAGAGCAGCCACAGCUCCCCUGGGAAACCUGUGCCAGGGCCUCACCACCCUCUAGACAGCCUAGGACUACCAGCUCACCUCCAAGCACUUACAGCUGAGGAAAAGGAUUCCAUUUAAAUAUGUUCUUCAUGCUAAUCUGAGAGUCAUGGAUAAGAUCUCCACUGCAAAGCAACAAAAUUCUGUAACUCUGGGCAACUUCAUCCUCCCUGCUCUUUUUACCCAGCAACUAAACUGCCAGUGCUAAAGCACCAUGGGCAAGGCAGGCAUCAGAUGAUUCUUGGUGAAAUGAAUCCCAUCCCACAUCUCUCAACAGCCCAGAUCCUGUUGGAUGCCAUCAGCAGCAGGCAGACAGCAACAACCCUGCAAGAGGGAUGGUUGAGAAAUAGAAACUGGUAGACAGCCAGGAAACAUCAAAUGGAAAAUUAGUUGAUUAGAAAAGGAGAAGCACAAGUGAGGAGCUAGUCAAGCUUUCAUCAGCACUUUAUGUGAAUUUAUUAUAAAGCACUGGACAGUCCAACCCAAUCACCUGACUGUGUAAACACACCUCACCUGACUGUGAAAUCUGCAGAAGUGGCUGAGUCCUGUGUGGAUAUCUGAGAGGAAAAAUUGAUCUCACCUAAAUGCAACCACCUGAAGGCUGCCCAGAGAAGCUGUGGCUGCCCCAUCCCUGGAAGUGUCCAAGGCCAGGUUGGACAGGGCUUGGAGCAACAUGGGACUGUGGAAGGUGUCCCUGCCCAUGGCAGGGGAUGGAAAAAGAGGAACUUUAAGGUCCUUCCAACACAACCCAUUCCAUGAUUCUGUGUAAUUUGCUGUGUUUGACUGCUUUAAGGUACCUGUAAAUUCAUAAACCUUUAACAUCACU